CGCUCCUUUUGUAGUUAGCGCGAUUCCCUCAUUUUAUUGUUGUCUUUUAGCAGUUGACUGAUAUUUCCGUUAUUGAUUUGCCUGUACCAUGUCAGUCAUAUGAUAGUUGUUUUUCGCUCUUUACGUUAAUUGACAUCGUUUGAUUCAGUCAGUUAUGAUGGACCUCCAAUUUUUGAAUUUUCCUUUUGGGUUCGGUAUUUUGUUAUACUUUUAUUGAAAUUUAAACAUCAGUAAAUUCCUAUUGCUUUAAUUUCAUAUGAAGAUAUUU
rnacentral:lncRNA from 1 species